rnacentral:tRNA from 1 species
UCCCUGAUGGCUCAGACAGUAAAGAAUCUGCCUGCAGUGCAGAAGACCUGGGUUCAAUCCCUGGGUUGGGAA